UACGUAGGGAGCAAGCGUUGUCCGGAUUUAUUGGGCGUAAAGAGCUCGUAGGCGGUUCCGUAAGUCGGGUGUGAAAAAUCUGGGCUCAACCCAGUGGAGCACUCGAUACUGCGGUGACUCGAGUCCGGUAGGGGAGUGUGGAAUUCCUGGUGUAGCGGUGAAAUGCGCAGAUAUCAGGAGGAACACCGACGGCGAAGGCAGCACUCUGGGCCGGUACUGACGCUGAGGAGCGAAAGCAUGGGGAGCGAACAGG
rnacentral:rRNA from 1 species